rnacentral:lncRNA from 1 species
UCAGGAGUCUGAGACUGCAGCAGUGUCCUAUGAUCUUGUCUGUGGAUAGCCUUGGGCAAUAUAGUGAGACCCCACAUCUAAGAAUUAAUGAAUGUAUAAAAAAAGAAGAGCAUUUUUGAAGACCUAGAGAAAAUAUUUUUUAAAAGGUAACAAAAAUGGUGCAGGUGCUGUGGAAAAAUGUAAUAGUUCCCUUUAAAAAUUAAACACAGAGUUACCGUAUAAAAAAACUUACCAUGUAAUCUAGCAAUUUUGUUCCUGGGUAUAUAUGCAAAAGAUUUGAAGAUAGAGACUCAAACAGAUAUUUGUAUGUACCCAUGUUUAUGGCAGUUUUAUUUACAAUAGCCAAAAAGUGAAAACAACCCAAGUAUCCACUAACAGGUGAGUAGGAAAACUAAAUGUGAAGUAUACAUACAAUGGAAUAUUAUGCAGCCUCAAAAAGGAAGGAAAUUCUGACAUGCGCUACAUCGGGAAUCAACCUGGAAGACAUUAUGCUAAGUGAAUAAAGCCAGUCAUUAAAGAAGAAAUAUUGUGAUUCCACUUACUUGCAAAACCUAGAUUGAUCCCAUAUACAGAGAUAAAAAGUAGAAUGCUGAUUGCCAGGGGCUGGGGAUGAGGGUAAUGGGAAGUUGGUGUUGAAUGGGUACAGAGUUUAGGUUCGGGAAGAUGAAAAAAUUCUGGCUCUAGACAGUAGUAAUAGUUGGAGAACAAUGUGAAUGUAUUUAAUGCCACAGCAUUGGAUGCUUAAAAGUGGCUAAAAUAAUAAAUGUUUUCAUGUUACCACAGUAGAAAAAGAAGAAAAGAGUAAGAAACUGCGUGGUCAUCCUUAUCGAUUGCUACACCCACGUUCCCCAUUUCUAGCGAGUCUGACAGGCAACCUCCGUGGGUCUGUCUCUUCUCUUCCUGGGACUUCAGCAAAUGCCUUUCAUGCCAAGUGCCAGUGACGUGGAUGCUGCUACCCAGGGACGGCGUUUUGGCAAACAACACCCAAAAUGAUAAACCAUGGGAGGACAUCUGGGUCCCAGGUUCAGGCGUCUCUGAACAGCCCCGAUCUGAAUAAGAAAGAACUUUAUCUGGACCCUAGAAAAGCCCAAAGCCCACUGGCCGGGUCUCUGUGAAAACGUUUAGCGCUCAAAAGAGCUGGGGCGUCCUCCGCUUGGGUGCUCCCUGGGGCUGGCCGUGGGCUGCGGGCUGAGGGCAGU